rnacentral:tRNA from 1 species
GCCCUCGUAGCUCAGGGGAUAGAGCAACCGCCUCCUAAGCGGUAGGUCGUGCGUUCGAAUCGCACCGAGGGCGCCA